rnacentral:rRNA from 1 species
GACGAACGCUGGCGGCGUGCUUAACACAUGCAAGUCGAACGGAAAGGCCCUGCUUUUGUGGGGUGCUCGAGUGGCGAACGGGUGAGUAACACGUGAGUAACCUGCCCUUGACUUUGGGAUAACUUCAGGAAACUGGGGCUAAUACCGGAUAGGAGCUCCUGCUGCAUGGUGGGGGUUGGAAAGUUUCGGCGGUUGGGGAUGGACUCGCGGCUUAUCAGCUUGUUGGUGGGGUAGUGGCUUACCAAGGCUUUGACGGGUAGCCGGCCUGAGAGGGUGACCGGCCACAUUGGGACUGAGAUACGGCCCAGACUCCUACGGGAGGCAGCGGUGGGGAAUAUUGCACAAUGGGCGGGAGCCUGAUGCAGCAACGCCGCGUGCGGGAUGACGGCCUUCGGGUUGUAAACCGCUUUCGCCUGUGACGAAGCGAGAGUGACGGUAAUGGGUAAAGAAGCACCGGCUAACUACGUG